rnacentral:rRNA from 1 species
AUUGAACGCUGGCGGCGUGCUUAACACAUGCAAGUCGAUCGGUAACAGGUGUAGCAAUACAUGCUGACGAGAGGCGGACGGGUGAGUAAUGCUUGGGAAUCUGCCUAUUAGUGGGGGACAACCCGGGGAAACUCGGGCUAAUACCGCAUACGCUCUACGGAGGAAAGCCGGGGACCGCAAGGCCUGGCGCUAAUAGAUGAGCCCAAGUCGGAUUAGCUAGUUGGUAGGGUAACGGCCUACCAAGGCGACAAUCCGUAGCUGGUCUGAGAGGACGACCAGCCACACCGGAACUGAGACACGGUCCGGACUCCUACGGGAGGCAGCAGUGGGGAAUAUUGGACAAUGGGGGCAACCCUGAUCCAGCGACGCCGCGUGGGUGAAGAAGGCCUGCGGGUUGUAAAGCCCUUUCGGGUGGGGAAGAAAGUCUCGACCUAAUACGUCGGGACCUUGACGUAACCCACUAAAG